CUAUGUGGAUGCUGUCAGUCAGUCAGCUGACACUUGAAAACAGCUCUUCCUCAUCCUGCAAGCGGAGCCGCCUUCACUCAGCAGCACAGCCCAGCCCAUCAUUUCCGGGGAACUUCUCUUGCUUCUCAUCUCUUGAUUCCUCACCUAAACGUCUGGGUGCAGACCACAGGCCACUGAAGCAUUGUUCCCCAGCUUUUCCUGAUAUAGCGAAGGGGUGAGAAGUGCAGGAAGGACCAGGACAAAUGGUGGGGAAACUGAGCAUCAGGGAAGACAUGACUUGCUCAAGGUAACACAGCCAGUCAGUGGCGAUGCUGGGAUUCAAACCAGUUCUACAGACCAAAGAUGCCACGUUCUGGGCUGCCAGUUAUACUGCUGUCUCCUGAGAAGCUGCAAAGCUCUUCUAACAUCUACGUCCCUCCUGGCCCUUGAAGAAUCCCAACCGGUGUCUCAGAGGCAUUUUCUGAACACUUACCAGUGUACCAUACUAAGCAACUUACAGGCAUUACUUACUAGAUGCAGACAGUCGCCCUACAAUAUAGGAGAUAUUCUCAGCAAUUGCCCUUGCACAGAAAGAAGAAGCCGAGGUUGGUGGCUCCUAACUUUCCGUGAGUACUACAUGCCAGGCAAGGUGCUAAGCCCUACCACGUGAUGGCUCACUUAACCUUCAGGAGUAACUUCCACAGCAGGUCCUAUUGUUCUCCCCUCUUACAGAAGGAGAAGAAGAGUCAUGAGAAUGUCCAGAAACUUGCCCAAGGUCAUCUGGGGAGGCAGUGGUCUGGUGCUAGAGCUUGCUAUAGUGCCUCUGCUCUUUUGCUGAGAGGUAAAUCGAAGAGCAACUUAGCUCCCCUUCUCCUGUAUGGAAGGAAAAAAGACCUUCACCCACAUUCUCCUAAGGUGGAAUGGCACUGGAACGAGGGUGGUUUCCAGCAAGGCUCUUGGCGAAUAUUUCUGUUUCCUUCUGUAAUGGACUGAAUUGUGGCCCCUCAAAAUAUGUGUUGUACAGCCUACCCCUCAUACCCGUGGAUAUAAUCCCAUUCAGGAAUAAGGUUUUCUUUAUUAUCUUAAUGAAGCCGUAUCAGUGUAGGGUGUGUCUUAAGCCAAUCGCUUCUAGGACAUAAAAAGAGCAGAUUAGGUACAGAAGCAAGCAAACACAGACAGGGAAGAUAGAUGCUACCCCAUAUGAAGAACACCAGGGAAAGAGGAACAGAAGAAGAAAAGGGACAAGGACCUUCCUCCAGAGUUGACCCAGAGAGAAAGGCUUCCCCUAGAGCUGGUGCUCUGAAUUCAGACUUCUAGCCUCCUAAACUGUGAGAAAAUAAAAUUUGUUUGUUAAAGCCACCCACUUGUGGUAUUUCUAUUCAUAGCAGCACUAAGAAACUAAGACACCCUCCUUCAGGUACACAGUAGGAUUGCAAUUCCCCUGCGAGUUAGGCACAGCCAGACAACUUGCGGUAGCCAACACAAGUGAUUGGAGCCAUUUCCGAGCCAGGGCACAAUCUGCCCCCUUCCCUCCCCCACAGCGCCCAGUUAUGCUUCUGAUGGGAGAACAGCCUGUAGCCCUGAGUGAGGCCAGGGGGGCCAGAGACCCAGCCAAUCCUCAGUGGGCAGAAAUAAACCUUUGUUGC